UACAGAGGUCCCGAGCGUUGUUCGGAUUCACUGGGCGUAAAGGGUGCGUAGGUGGUGAGGUAAGUCGGAUGUGAAAUCUCCAAGCUCAACUCGGAAAUUGCAUUGGAAACUACCUUGCUCGAGGGUUGGAGGGGGGACUGGAAUACUUGGUGUAGCAGUGAAAUGCGUAGAUAUCAAGUGGAACACCAGUGGCGAAGGCGAGUCCCUGGACAACUCCUGACACUGAGGCACGAAAGCUAGGGGAGCAAACAGG
rnacentral:rRNA from 1 species